GAAAGCUACCUUGCCUCUCAGAGCACUCGAGCAAUGGCAGCUCACUGUUCAAAUCCCAUCUCAUAAGGCAGGAGGAGGAAACUGACCCAGGCUUGCCCCUAUCCCAGCAUGGACAAUCCUGACCUAACCAGAGAGGUAAUGAAGAACCAAGCAUUAGCUGAGUCAAUAGUCCUUGCUCAGUAUCACUAGCAAGAUUUGAAGCUACCGCAAAGUGACAUGCAUCGCUGCAGUCUUGUGCGCAUCAGAAACGUAACCAUAAGCAAAUAGCGGAGACAGCAUAAUCCAGUGGACCUGGGAGACAGGACAGCUAGCUUUUGUUCCCUGCUCUACCACUGACUC